rnacentral:tRNA from 1 species
GGGGUUGUAGCUCAGUGGUAGAGCACUUGCCUCGCAUGUGUGAAGCACUGGGUUCAAUUCUUAGCACCG